CGGAAAUAUCCAGUCUCUCCUUGUCAAGGCAUACAUUCGAGGGAUAUGUGUUUUCACCAGGGUAGGAGAAGCUUUGAAAAUAAGGUCUCUUAAGAUAUCAUCUGAUCCUGGACUCUAGAGGGCAGCACCAGGAGUACACUGAAGAGUGGAGGAACGCUUCUGGCCCAUGCGCAAGUUUCUAGUUGUGCCUUGCCAUUGCUGAAGAAAAUGUACCCUGAUGCCUGCUCAAUCGUGACAGAAAGAAGGAACUCUGAAAACCAAGAUUUGAAAGCUGUGGUUCUGGGAUAUAAAUUUGUUAGAGAUCCAGUUUCAACAGAAAACUGGUGGCUUUCUUUAAGCAUGCUAUAUACUGAUUCACAAAAGUUGUUGGAAAAUAGUAAGAAAGAAUCUGCAGGUGGAUUGGCAAUCUCCAAAGCAGAACGUGAAGAAUAUCUGAUUACAACUGGCUAGGCACAAGG
rnacentral:lncRNA from 1 species